rnacentral:rRNA from 1 species
GAUGAACGCUGGCGGCGUGCCUAAUACAUGCAAGUCGAGCGAACAGAUAAGGAGCUUGCUCCUUUGACGUUAGCGGCGGACGGGUGAGUAACACGUGGGUAACCUACCUAUAAGACUGGAAUAACUCCGGGAAACCGGGGCUAAUGCCGGAUAACAUUUAGAACCGCAUGGUUCUAAAGUGAAAGAUGGUUUUGCUAUCACUUAUAGAUGGACCCGCGCCGUAUUAGCUAGUUGGUAAGGUAACGGCUUACCAAGGCAACGAUACGUAGCCGACCUGAGAGGGUGGUCGGCCACACUGGAACUGAGACACGGUCCAGACUCCUACGGGAGGCAGCAGUAGGGAAUCUUCCGCAAUGGGCGAAAGCCUGACGGAGCAACGCCGCGUGAGUGAUGAAGGUCUUCGGAUCGUAAAACUCCGUUAUUAGGGAAGAACAAAUGUGUAAGUAACUGUGCACGUCUUGACGGUACCUAAUCAGAAAGCCACGGCUAACUACGUG